UUAUAUUUUCCGCAGGGAUCAACUGAAGUUAUGACAUUUGGAUUGGAUCACUUAUAACCUUGGUCGCCAAAUAAUACAAAAAUCAGCGUUAUAAAACAAAGAAGGUUUUUGUUAAGAAAUUAAUCCUCUUUCUUGAUAAGAAAGUUGAACCGAAAUUGCAGAUACUGAUAUAUGAAAAUAAUACCCACAAUUUUGGGAAUAGCGCAAGCCUCA